AACGAACGCUGGCGGCAGGCUUAACACAUGCAAGUCGAACGCCCCGCAAGGGGAGUGGCAGACGGGUGAGUAACGCGUGGGAAUCUACCUAGUUCUACGGAACAACAGAUGGAAACGACUGCUAAUACCGUAUACGCCCUACGGGGGAAAGAUUUAUCGGAAUUAGAUGAGCCCGCGUAAGAUUAGCUAGUUGGUGAGGU
rnacentral:rRNA from 1 species